CUCUGCGAAAAGGAGAAGAAGAAGUUGAAGAGUGUGUCAGGAUGGUGUGCACCACGCGACACGAGAGUACCGUGUUCGAUUGAAACGUCGUUCGAGGAAAAAUCGUCGAGG